CAAUAGCGUAUAUUAAAGCUGUUGCGGUUAAAAAGUUCGUAGUUGGAUUUCUGCCAAGGACGACCGGUCCGCCCUCUGGGUGAGUAUCUGGCUUGGCCUGGGCAUCUUCUUGGAGAACGUCGCUGCACUUCACUGUGUGGUGCGGUAUCCAGGACUUUUACUUUGAGGAAAUUAGAGUGUUUCAAGCAGGCUUCCGCCUUGAAUACAUUAGCAUGGAAUAAUAAGAUAGGACCUCGGUUCUGUUUUGUUGGUUUCUAGAGCUGGGGUAAUGAUUAAUAGGGAUAGUUGGGGGCAUUCGUAUUUAACUGUCAGAGGUGAAAUUCUUGGAUUUGUUAAAGACGGACUACUGCGAAANCANNNGCCAAGGAUGUUUUCAUNGA
rnacentral:rRNA from 1 species